UUGGAGGGCAGUCUGGUGCCAGCAGCCGCGGUAAUUCCAGCUCCAAUAGCGUAUAUUAAAGUUGUUGCAGUUAAAAAGCUCGUAGUUGAAUUUCGGGAUCAGAUUGUCGGUCGUGCCCCGGUACGCACUGGUAUUAUUGGUUCCUACCUUCUGAAGGACCGCGAUGUCAUUAAUUUGGUGUCGUGGGGAAUCAGGACUGUUACUUUGAAAAAAUUAGAGUGUUUAAAGCAGGCGCACGCUUGAAUACAUUAGCAUGGAAUAAUGAAAUAGGACGUUUGAUUCUAUUUUGUUGGUUUCUAGGAUCGACGUAAUGAUUAAUAGGGAUAGUUGGGGGCAUUAGUAUUCAAUUGUCAGAGGUGAAAUUCUUGGAUUUAUUGAAGACUAACUACUGCGAAAGCAUUUGCCAAGGAUGUUUUCAUUAAUCAAGAACGAAAGUUAGGGGACCGAAGACGAUCAGAUACCGUCGUAGUCUUAACCAUAAACUAUGCCGACUAGGGAUCGGAUGAUGUUAAUUUUUUAAUGACUCAUUCGGCGCCUUACGGGAAAC
rnacentral:rRNA from 1 species